AUUGAACGCUGGCGGCAUGCCUUACACAUGCAAGUCGAACGGUAACAGGUCUUCGGAUGCUGACGAGUGGCGAACGGGUGAGUAAUACAUCGGAACGUGCCUAGUAGUGGGGGAUAACUACUCGAAAGAGUGGCUAAUACCGCAUGAGAUCUACGGAUGAAAGCAGGGGAUCGCAAGACCUUGUGCUACUAGAGCGGCCGAUGGGAGAUUAGGUAGUUGGUGGGAUAAAAGCUUACCAAGCCGACGAUCUGUAGCUGGUCUGAGAGGACGAUCAGCCACACUGGGACUGGGACACGGCCCAGACUCCUACGGGAGGCAGCAGUGGGGAAUUUUGGACAAUGGGCGCAAGCCUGAUCCAGCAAUGCCGCGUGCAGGAUGAAGGCCUUCGGGUUGUAAACUGCUUUUGUACGGAACGAAAAGCUCUGGGUUAAUACCCUGGGGUCAUGACGGUACCGUAAGAAUAAGCACCGGCUAACUACGUGCCAGCCGCCGCCGUAA
rnacentral:rRNA from 1 species